UUGGCAAAGAGAUCUAUUAAAUAAGACCCAUUAGGUAAAAAGCAGGUCUCUUUAGUGGAAGAGACCCCGUAUAACAAAAAGCGGAUCUCUUAUAACGCGUGGCCCUGUUAAAUGAAAAAGAAAAGAGCCAAUUUCACAAAACACGGGUCUGUUAUCUCCCGUGGGCCCCAAUUGAUGAAAAUGAAGAAGCCUGAUAUCCAAAAACACGGGUCUCUUCUCCACACCCCUCCUUUUUUUAUCUCUCUUCUUGUCUUCCUCUACAGCGAGCAAACAAAAGUUAAACUUUAAUUUCUCUCUCCUCUACAACCUUCGACAAUGUUCACUCUUCACAAAAAAAAGGAGUCUUAGUGAAAACCUAAAGAAGGCGACGGCGAAGAAGAUCUUUGGAGCAGAUCUGCUAUCAAAAGAAGCAAAUGAUCGAGAGCGGAUUUCACUGGUUUUUUCCCCUAUAUUUUGUAGUGGUGUGGCUGAACAGGGAAACGAUGAAGCUACAAAGCUGCAGCAGUUCCUGAAUGAGAUCUUGUAAAUUACCAAGCAGAAGUUUUGGUUAAAAUAGCUAGGAAGUUUUCAAAUGUUGCUCCAACUAAACCUUUUAGACUUGGAUUGGAUGAGAUUUUGAACACUCUUGACAGGGCCUACAUUAUCACUGAGUAGGAAUAUGAUGGUGUUGCCGAGCUAGACACCCUAGAAGGAGAGUAAGAAGAAUCGUACAAAGAUAGCAUAAUACUUCGAUUAUCCAACUCCAACCUCACUUCACAGACACCAGAUAUGCAGGCUGUAGCCUGUAGGUUUAUCAAAGUGUCCAUGAAGGAGUCAACUAUGGAUCAAGUUUCAGUUAUUAAUCCAUCUCAAUAUACACAAGUCAAAAGUCACAGGCAGUUACCUAGUGGUUAAUUUUCUGAAGAAACUUAUUCAUCGGGAAAUGUGGAUGAGGUUAGAGAUAUGUGGGUCGAGUAUUUGCUCAAGCAAGAAGCGGAUGAAGAAAACCAAGUUGAUGGUAUGAAAAUAACUCCAUGAGUUUCGGUUCCAAUUGUUGGUAAAUUGGCGUGAAUGAUUAUAUUUUUGAAUUGAUUUUUGUUUUACGUUUUUUGGAAAUUGCGAUGUAAAGCUUUGACGUUUAUGCAAAUUACAAUUUAUGUAAAGCUUGCGUUUUGAGCAUUACUUGUGGGAAAUAUAUUUUUUUUGUUAAUAUAUGGAUUAUGGAAUUGUUCUCUAAUUAUUACAAAUUAUGUAUUAUAG